GCCUUUGUGGUGUAGUGGUCAGCACACUUGAAGCGCAUUCGAGAGGUCCGUGAUUCGAGUCCCGGCGAGGGCA
rnacentral:tRNA from 1 species